rnacentral:rRNA from 1 species
UCGAGGAUCUUCGGCAAUGGGCGCAAGCCUGACCGAGCGACGCCGCGUGAAGGAUGAAGGCCUUCGGGUUGUAAACUUCUGUCGAGGGGGAUAAAGCCGCAAGGUUGAUAGAUCCCUGGAGGAAGCACGGGCUAAGUUCGUGCCAGCAGCCGCGGUAAGACGAACCGUGCGAACGUUGUUCGGAAUCACUGGGCUUAAAGGGCGCGUAGGCGGCUUGGCAAGUCAGUGGUGAAAUCCUCCGGCUUAACCGGAGAAGUGCCAUUGAUACUGCUGAGCUUGAGGGAGGUAGGGGCAGCUGGAACUUCUGGUGGAGCGGUGAAAUGCGUUGAUAUCAGAAGGAACGCCGGUGGCGAAAGCGAGCUGCUGGAUCUCUACUGACGCUGAGGCGCGAAAGCUAGGG